CCUACGGGAGGCAGCAGUGGGGAAUAUUGCACAAUGGGGGAAACCCUGAUGCAGCGACGCCGCGUGAGCGAAGAAGUAUUUCGGUAUGUAAAGCUCUAUCAGCAGGGAAGAAAAUGACGGUACCUGACUAAGAAGCCCCGGCUAAAUACGUGCCAGCAGCCGCGGUAAUACGUAUGGGGCAAGCGUUAUCCGGAUUUACUGGGUGUAAAGGGAGCGCAGGCGGCUUGGCAAGUCUGAUGUGAAAGGCUGGGGCUCAACCCCAGGACUGCAUUGGAAACUGUUAGGCUGGAGUGUCGGAGAGGUAAGCGGAAUUCCUAGUGUAGCGGUGAAAUGCGUAGAUAUUAGGAGGAACACCAGUGGCGAAGGCGGCUUACUGGACGACAACUGACGCUGAGGCUCGAAAGCGUGGGGAGCAAACAGGAUUAGAUACCCCAGUAGUC
rnacentral:rRNA from 1 species